GGUCAAGCUACAAAGGGCACAUGGCGAAUGCCUUGGCAUCAAGAGCCGACGAAGGACGCGAUAAGCUGCGAUAAGCUUCGGGUAGCCGCAAAUAGGCUGUGAACCGAAGAUUUCCGAAUGAGGAAACUCACAUGGGUAAACCCCAUGUAUUGUAUACUGAAUAAAUAGGUAUAUAAGGGUACACCCAGGGAACUGAAACAUCUAAGUACCUGGAGGAAGAGAAAGAAAUUCGAUUUCCUAAGUAGCGGCGAGCGAAAGGGAAAGAGCCCAAACCAGAAAUUUAUUUCUGGGGUUGUGGACAGAUCAUUAAUAUGGCGGUAUUUUAGUCGAAUACAACUGGAAAGUUGAGCCACAGCGUGUAAUAGCCACGUAGACGAAAGAAGAAGGCCUAAGAUCUGAUCCAGAGUACCACGAGACACGUGAAACCUUGUGGGAAGCAGGGAGGACCACCUCCCAAGGCUAAAUACUACUUGAUGACCGAUAGUGAAGAAGUACCGUGAG
rnacentral:rRNA from 1 species